UACGUAGGGUGCAGGCGUUAAUCGGAAUUACUGGGCGUAAAGCGUGCGCAGGCGGUUUCCUAAGUCAGAUGUGAAAGCCCCGGGCUUAACCUGGGAACUGCGUUUGAAACUGGGAGACUUGAGUGUGGCAGAGGGGGGUGGAAUUCCACGUGUAGCAGUGAAAUGCGUAGAUAUGUGGAGGAACACCGAUGGCGAAGGCAGCCCCCUGGGUUAACACUGACGCUCAUGCACGAAAGCGUGGGGAGCAAACAGG
rnacentral:rRNA from 1 species